AAGAAAACUUUGCACACGACAGAU
rnacentral:piRNA from 1 species